AGCGAACGCUGGCGGCAGGCCUAACACAUGCAAGUCGAACGGAUCCUUCGGGAUUAGUGGCGGACGGGUGAGUAACACGUGGGAACGUGCCUUUUGGUUCGGAACAACUCAGGGAAACUUGAGCUAAUACCGAAUGUGCCCUUCGGGGAAAGAUUUAUCGCCAUUAGAGCGGCCCGCGUCUGAUUAGCUUGUUGGUGAGGUAAAGGCUCACCAAGGCUACGAUCAGUAGCUGGUCUGAGAGGAUGAUCAGCCACAUUGGGACUGAGACACGGCCCAAACUCCUACGGGAGGCAGCAGUGGGGAAUCUUGCGCAAUGGGCGAAAGCCUGACGCAGCCAUGCCGCGUGAAUGAUGAAGGUCUUAGGAUUGUAAAAUUCUUUCACCGGGGACGAUAAUGACGGUACCCGGAGAAGAAGCCCGGCUAACUCGUGCCAGCAGCCGCGGU
rnacentral:rRNA from 1 species